GGGACCUUUCCUCUUCUUCAGAGAUGGACAGACUCUUGACCAGCCUGGAGCUGGAGGGCCUGCAGGACUUGAGGCCCGCGCUCUGGUCCGUCCUGUCCGUGUUGGGCCUGGGGUCUCCUCACCCGCGGAGACUCACCUUUCCUGGCUCCCUGAGGGCACCAGCCCGGGUUGGAGUCAGACCCCCCCACUGUGACACCCCUGCGGGGGUAGCUCAGGGCCUGUGUCUGAAGCGGCAGCUCCCCCCGUGGG
rnacentral:lncRNA from 1 species